CUCUCGCCAAGUGCCCUCACAUGCAGCGAAGAUGGAUACGGCCAAUUUGUAGGCCCCCCAGGAAACCCCGGGUCACUGAAGAGAUGGAGCAAAGAAGGGGACAAUGGGGGAAUAGGGAGAGAAAGGCAAGACACAGGCAGAGAACUUCCAAUGUUAGACUGGACCCAAAGUUUGGAAAGUUUCCCCUUGUUGUUUGGAUGGCAACACUUGGAGUGUCUCAUGGAGCAGAGCAAAAAGCAACAUAGAGUCUUCAAAGGGGGUCAACCAGGGCCAUCAAGAUUCAAAUCACAGGACAAGAUUCAACCUGAACAUUAGAAAGAACUUCCUUAUGAGGCAGCUGGAUUUCAAUGGAGAAACCACACAUGUCCAUAUCAGAUAAUUAAGAAACAUCCCAACAAGUAUGGAAUUAUGGAAUUACCAGGCAUAAACGCAACAAGUGAUUUGAGGGAUUAGCUGGAUCAAUACGGAAAACCAAAUUUGCAUCUCCAAAAUGAGAGUCUUGGAAAUAAUGGAAUGGCUGGGCAUAAAUGAAAGAAGCGGUUUCAGAGUGAUCUAGUUAAUUUCAGCCCAGGUUUUGCUCUGAUUCCUUCCUCUCCAGAAGUGGCCAGAUUUCAGUGCACAAAAUACAAGAUCCCUGGAGGUUUCUUCUCUUGCCAAGGGCAGGGAUCAGUCCAGGGAAAGAAAGAGUUAAAUUUCCUUCUCCUUCCCUCUUUCCCCCCAUCCAAUCCUGCCAGUACAAAAGAAAAAAGAGUGUACAGAAAGAUUAAGAGUUUUGCUUUUACAAUGAGAGGCACAAAGGGGGGGAGGCGUGUCCCCUGAGGAUGUGUGAAAGGGGAAGGGGCUGCAAGGGGGGGGGGGGCAGCGGGAGGGAUGCCAUUCCCGAGAGACCAGGGUCAGGUGCCCACUGGCUCCCCACCAAAGACAGAGACUUGGGGUCCCCUCCCCAAACCCCAGCAGGGAUGUCUCGGAGAAAACAGCGCAACCCCCAGCAACUCAUCUCUGACUGUGAAGGGUCCACAGCCUCUGAGAACGAAUCCCCCAGCGAUCAUGCGCAAUGUGAGUUGGCUGGGAAAAUCUGGGAAUAGUACCCAAAAAAGUAAGUUUUUAAAGUGUGAUUGUUUGUUUCUCUCUCUCAACACACACUUUUGCUCUCUCUUAGGCUCCCUUCUACACUGCCGUAUCAAAACUAGAUUAUCUGCUUUGAACUGGAUUAUAUGGCAGUGUGGACUCAUAUAUUCCAGUUCAAAACAGAUAAUCUGGAUUAUCUCCUUUGAUAAUGUGGAUUAUAUGGCAGUGUAGAAGAGGCCUUACUUUCACGCAGUCAUAUUAAUGUAUCCAUCUUUUUUUUCCUUAAUGAUCUAUCUUUCUUCCUCCUCAUGCCUUUAACAGCACAAUCUCAAGAAAUUAGCAGAAAUUAGAUUUAAAAACUAUAACUAGC
rnacentral:lncRNA from 11 species